CAAUUGAGAUUCCCUCAGUAGCGGCGAGCGAACGGGGAUCAGCCCAUUAAGUUAUGUGUGUUUUAGUGGAACGCUCUGGGAAGUGCGAACGUAGAGGGUGAUAUUCCCGUACACGAAAGGGCACACAUAAUGAUGACGAGUAGGGCGAGGCACGUGAAACCUUGUCUGAAUAUGGGGGGACCAUCCUCCAAGGCUAAAUACUCCUGACUGACCGAUAGUGAACCAGUACCGUGAGGGAAAGGCGAAAAGAACCCCUGUGAGGGGAGUGAAAUAGAUCCUGAAACCGCAUGCAUACAAGCAGUGGGAGCACCUUCGUGGUGUGACUGCGUACCUUUUGUAUAAUGGGUCAGCGACUUAUAUUCAGUAGCGAGGUUAACCGUAUAGGGGAGCCGUAGAGAAAUCGAGUCUUAAUAGGGCGUUUAGUUGCUGGGUAUAGACCCGAAACCAGGCGAUCUAUCCAUGAGCAGGUUGAAGGUUGGGUAACACUAACUGGAGGACCGAACCCACUGUCGUUGAAAAGCCAGGGGAUGACUUGUGGAUAGGGGUGAAAGGCUAAUCAAGCCUGGUGAUAGCUGGUUCUCCCCGAAAGCUAUUUAGGUAGCGCCUCGGACGAAUACCAUAGGGGGUAGAGCACUGUUUCGGCUAGGGGGUCAUCCCGACUUACCAAACCGAUGCAAACUCCGAAUACCUAUGAGUACUAUCCGGGAGACAGACUGCGGGUGCUAACGUCCGUAGUCAAGAGGAAAACAAUCCAGACCGCCAGCUAAGGCCCCAAAAUCAUAGUUAAGUGGGAAACGAUGUGGGAAGGCAUAGACAGCUAGGAGGUUGGCUUAGAAGCAGCCACCCUUUAAAGAAAGCGUAAUAGCUCACUAGUCGAGUCGGCCUGCGCGGAAGAUGUAACGGGGCUAAAACUAUGUGCCGAAGCUGCGGAUGUAUACUUUGUAUACGUGGUAGGGGAGCGUUCUGUAAGCCGAUGAAGGUGUGUUGAGAAGCAUGCUGGAGGUAUCAGAAGUGCGAAUGCUGACGUGAGUAACGACAAAACGGGUGAAAAACCCGUUCGCCGAAAGACCAAGGGUUCCAGUCCAACGUUAAUCGGGGCUGGGUGAGUCGACCCCUAAGGCGAGGCCGAAAGGCGUAGUCGAUGGGAAAAUGGUUAAUAUUCCAUUACUUCUGUGUAAUGCGAUGAGAGGACGGAGAAGGCUAAAUCAGCCUGGCGUUGGUUGUCCAGGUGAAAGGAUGUAGGCAUGUAUCUUAGGCAAAUCCGGGGUACUCUAUGCUGAGAUCUGAUAGCAAGCUGUACUUGUACAGCGAAGUGGUUGAUGCCAUGCUUCCAGGAAAAGUCUCUAAGCUUCAGUUACACAGGAAUCGUACCCGAAACCGACACAGGUGGUCAGGUCGAGUAGACCAAGGCGCUUGAGAGAACUCUGCUGAAGGAACUAGGCAAAAUGGUACCGUAACUUCGGGAGAAGGUACGCUGUUGUUGGUGAUGGAACUCGCUUCCUGAGCUGACGACAGCCGCAGAAACCAGGCCGCUGCAACUGUUUAUUAAAAACAUAGCACUCUGCAAACACGAAAGUGGACGUAUAGGGUGUGAUGCCUGCCCGGUGCUGGAAGGUUAAUUGAUGGGGUUAGCGUAAGCGAAGCUCUUGAUCGAAGCCCCAGUAAACGGCGGCCGUAACUAUAACGGUCCUAAGGUAGCGAAAUUCCUUGUCGGGUAAGUUCCGACCUGCACGAAUGGCAUAAUGAUGGCGGCGCUGUCUCCAGCAGAGGCUCAGUGAAAUCGAAAUCGCUGUGAAGAUGCAGUGUACCCGCGGCUAGACGGAAAGACCCCGUGAACCUUUACUGCAGCUUGACACUGAACUUUGACCUUACUUGUGUAGGAUAGGUGGGAGGCUUUGAAGCUGGAACGCUAGUUCCAGUGGAGCCGUCCUUGAAAUACCACCCUGGUAAUGUUGAGGUUCUAACUCUGUCCCGUGAUCCGGGACGAGGACCGUGUCUGGUGGGUAGUUUGACUGGGGCGGUCUCCUCCUAAAGAGUAACGGAGGAGUACGAAGGUGCGCUCAGCGUGGUCGGAAAUCACGCGUAGAGUAUAAAGGCAAAAGCGCGCUUAACUGCGAGACCCACAAGUCGAGCAGGUACGAAAGUAGGUCUUAGUGAUCCGGUGGUUCUGUAUGGAAGGGCCAUCGCUCAACGGAUAAAAGGUACUCUGGGGAUAACAGGCUGAUACCGCCCAAGAGUUCAUAUCGACGGCGGUGUUUGGCACCUCGAUGUCGGCUCAUCUCAUCCUGGGGCUGAAGCAGGUCCCAAGGGUAUGGCUGUUCGCCAUUUAAAGAGGUACGCGAGCUGGGUUUAGAACGUCGUGAGACAGUUCGGUCCCUAUCUACCGUGGGCGCUGGAAAUUUGAGAGGAUCUGCUCCUAGUACGAGAGGACCAGAGUGGACGAACCUCUGGUGUACCGGUUGUGACGCCAGUCGCAUCGCCGGGUAGCUAUGUUCGGAAGGGAUAACCGCUGAAAGCAUCUAAGCGGGAAGCCUACCUCAAGAUAAGAUUUCCCUAGGACUUUAUGUCCUCUAAAGAGCCGUUCGAGACUAGGACGUUGAUAGGUUGGAUGUGGAAGCAUAGUGAUAUGUGAAGCUGACCAAUACUAAUUGCUCGUGAGGCUUGACUA
rnacentral:rRNA from 2 species